CCUAAUUGGGUUUUUUUGUUGUUGUUUUUUUUCAGACAUCCCUCCACACACACAGGCUCACAGAAAGAGUGGGUCAUCCUCAUUUUGGUCAAGAUUCUCUAUGGCAGGCUCAGCAACUGUAGCACUUGACUUGAAUGAGUAAGCAGCUGAUUUGCCAAAAAGCUGCAAAGUGUUUAUAGCAAGCCUCACCAGACAGCUUCAGUCCAUAUCGGAUGGAGUUAAGGCUCUGCAAGGACAUCCGAUUUCUAAAUUUGCUUUUUACCACACUCAUCUGGUUGAAUACUCUGUCAACUUCAGCAUUUGAGUGAGGCAAGGACAACACAGACACAGCAGCCAUGGCAAGUUCUUGAAACAGGUUGAUAUCAGCUGUAUCCCUGUACUUCCAAAUCUCACUCCAGUAGCCCAUUGUGUUUUUUGUCUCAUUCCAUUUCUUAAGAUGGAUGGUACGCCAUUGGUGAACAAUCUUAUGUAUCGCUUCAGGGAAGAAGCCAAGGAGUUUAGCAAGUUUUUCUAUUUCUCCAGGGCUCUUGUUGUGCUUUUAACUUUCCUCCACAUUGAAAACUGACAUGUACUGCAAUGCUUCGAUGUUGUCCGGCAAUCUCACCCUCAACUCAUUAGUGAGGGAUAUGGUGAAGGCUACCCACCGCUUUCUGACAUUUUUUUCAUCCUCAGGCGCAAGGUGCAACUCAGCUGCUUUCACCUCAAAAAGGUAACCAAGGUAUGGUUUGGAACUGAUGUAUCCCUCUAUUGGCUCUUUGAGUACAUCAACAUUUACCAGUGGAUUCAGCACCCUGCUGCUCACAGACUUGAUCAGGCUAACCAAGCUGUAAAGUAGUUUAAGAGGAUCUGCCUGUUCUCCCUCAAAAGCCCUGAUGAUGGUCUGGACCUCUCCCAGCACUGACUUCAGAAAAGUGUUAUACAAGAUUUUUGAGGAUCAUUGUUCAUGGAGUAUAAAACAUCAGCCACAUAGCAGCAUUCACUGGACUUGGUGACUGCAAAAUGCAGCCUAAGCUCAUCCCACAAUGCAGAGCCAACGUGUGGCACCCACCUUGAUUAUCUGUAAGGGUUUCUUCCCACAGUUGAUGCUCUCAUAAAUGGCCUCGUAGGCCUCCCCUCACUGUGGAGACACUGAGAACCUUCUAUUUGUCACUUUUUUCUGGCUCCCCUCACUUCUCACCAUUCCUAUUAUGACCAGAAAAGGCAAGGUUACAUGCAGUGUCUGCACACCAGAGGGGGCGGUGCUCAAUGUGGACGUGGUUGAAAACGAGGGCGGCACAUUCGACAUCUUUUACACAGCGCCACAGCCUGGCAAGUAUGUGAUCUGCGUCCACUUUGGAGGGGAGCACAUUCCUAACAGUCCUUUCCAAGUCACACUGAGUGAUCUGCAUUUAACCUUACGUGCCUACAUGCUUUGUUGACAACUAGAAUUUCAAGAAUAAAACUGAAUUUUCAGUCUCAGUCAAAGCAAUCAGGCAAACAGGCUCCAUCAGACCAGCCCAUGCAACAGAGCCAAAUGCCCCAGUACUACACUCAACAGCCCUGGGUAUCUAAAACCUCAGUCUCCAGUCUCUCAACCUUCUCAGCUCCAGUUUUUGUUCAGCUUCUCCCUGGUGUCCCUUUGUCAUCUAUAGCACACAUGCUCUCCUUUCAUCAGACUGCAUCAUUGUCUGCUGUCUCUCAUUGCAGGUGUUUCAUCACUGAGAGGGUGCUUUCUCUCAUUUCUCUCUCUCCAUGUCAAAGAGGGGAUGCCUGAAACACAUGGACAGUUCAUCAGCGCCGCAUAAUGUUAAAAAGCCACAAUCUUCUGAUGUUACAGGUCCAAAGCCUACUGUAUCAGUUGAGGUUUCCUUCAUAGUAUGGGACCAAAUUAUAUAUUUUAUGAACCAUUAUGUAGCCCUUCUGGACAGUGGUCCAUGUCAACCUGGCUUUAGAGGGGAAAAAUUUUGAAAAUCAUAAAUUUGGCCGUCCCAGCUGCUCCACGUUUUUCAAAAUGGCUUUGCAAUGUUUUGUCCCCAUCCUGCUCUUGUAGCUUGUCAGUACCAUCAUCCUGACCAUGAUCACCAUUGUCAUUCCAUCUUAGCGUCUCAUCGUCUGUUCAUUGUUGGUGUUUUCCUCUUCUAUCCCACACUGCGUUAAUUUAGUCUGUGAUAUGUUGUCACUGUAACCAGAACAACCAGGACAGAACCUGCACGGUGCCUUACCUGCCAGUGCUGCCACGAGACUACAGCAUCCUUGUUAAAUACAAUGACAAGCACAUCCCAGGCAGCCCCUUCUCUGCUAGGAUUACUGUGACGAUACCAUGAGGACGUACCAUCUGAAGGUGGGUUUAGCGGCAGAUAUUCCACUGGACAUAGGAGAGCUUGACCUCAGCCAGGGAACAGCCUCUCUUGCAACACACCUGCCUGCUGAAGAUGCUAUGUAACGCUCACGUUGGAAUCUCGUUUGUUCCCAAGGAGAUUGGCAAGUACCUUGUUAAGAUCAAGAAGAACGGUUGUCAUAUUCCCAGCAGCCCAAUUGCUGUUAUGAUUAAGCAGUCAGAGAUUGGUGAUGCAAGCCAUGUGCGUGUGAGUGGACCGGGGCUGAGCGAGGCCAGGACUUUUGAGCCUGCAGACUUCAUCAUUGACACUCGUGAUGCAGGUAUAUGCUCAGUGAAAGAAUAAAUCUAGAGAUGGCAAAAUACCAUUUUUUAUGUCCGAUACCGAUAUCAUAAAUUUGGAUAUUUCCUGGUCGGUACAGUGUUAUCCACGCAGAAGUUGAUAUAGUCUGUUAUGCAGGUUGUUAGACCUCCUACAGCAGCUGAGAUCCUUUGGGGUGAACAGGACUCUUUUAAGGACGUUCUACGACACUGUGGUGGUGUCUGCUAUCUUUUAUGCUGUGGUCUGCUGGAGUAGUGGAACGGCAGAGAGGGACGGGGAAACUUAACAAACUGGUCAAGAGGGCCAGCUCUGUCCUGGACUGUCUGCUGAAGUCCAUUGAGCAGAUUGGGGAGGAGAUCAUGUUGUCUAAGCUAACAUCCAUCAUGGACAACACUUCCCACCCCUGCAUGAGAAUCUACGAGCACUGAGCAGCUUGUUGUGCUGCUACUCACUUGGAGCUUGUUUGUUCACUGCC